rnacentral:rRNA from 1 species
UACGGAGGGUGCAAGCGUUAUCCGGAUUUACUGGGUUUAAAGGGUGCGUAGGCGGACUUUUAAGUCAGGGGUGAAAUCCCGGGGCUCAACCCCGGAACUGCCUUUGAUACUAUUGGUCUUGAAUGUUGUGGAGGUGGGCGGAACGGGUCAUGUAGCGGUGAAAUGCAUAGAUAUGACCCGGAACACCGAUUGCGAAGGCAGCCCGCUACGCAACGAUUGACGCUGAGGCACGAAAGCGUGGGGAUCAA